rnacentral:rRNA from 1 species
GCGCGAAAACUUUACAAUGCGAGCAAUCGUGAUAAGGGAACUCCGAGUGCCUGUAAAAUCAGGCUGUCCGCCAGUGUAGAUAACUGGUGAAGAAAGGGCCGGGCAAGACCGGUGCCAGCCGCCGCGGUAAUACCGGCUGCUCGAGUGGUGGCCACUAUUCCUGGGCUUAAAGCGUUCGUAGCUGGUUUGUUAAGUCUCUGGGGAAAUCUUCCGGCUCAACCGGAAGGCGUCUCAGGGAUACUGGCAGACUAGGGACGGGAAGAGGUGAGAGGUACUUCAGGGGUAGGAGUGAAAUCCUGUAAUCCUUGGGGGACCAGCUGUGGCGAAGGCGUCUCACGAGGACGGCUCCGACAGUGAGGGACGAAAGCUGGGGGAGCAAACC